rnacentral:rRNA from 1 species
CCUACGGGAGGCUGCAGUGGGGGAGAUUGCACAAUGGGGGAAACCCUGAUGCAGCGACGCCGCGUGGGCGAAGAAGUAUUUCGGUAGGUAAAGCCCUAGCAGCAGGGAAGAAGAAAUGACGGUACCUGAGUAAGAAGCACCGGCUAAAUACGUGCCAGCAGCCGCGGUAAUACGUAGGGGGCAAGCGUUAUCCGGAUUUACUGGGUGUAAAGGGAGCGCAGGCGGCACGGCAAGCCUGAUGUGAAAGCCCGCGGCCCAACCGCGGGACUGCAUUGGGAACUACCGGGCUGGAGUGCCGGAGCGUUCGGCGGCAUUCCUAUUGUAGCGGUGCACUGCGUCGAUCUUAGGAG